GCCAUACACGGUGAGAUUGUUAAGGAGAAAGGUCACGGUAACCGUUCCCCAUUUCAUAACCCUUCUUCGUGACUCCUGCAGACCGGUAGACCGUUGGUUUCCGGUAGCCAUACACGGUGAGAUUGUUAAGGAGAAAGUGCAUCGCUCUCAUAUCACCAUUCAACGCAAAGUGGAAACUAACUGAUACAUUGUUUGCGCGACGUUAUGGCGACUCUGAAACA